rnacentral:rRNA from 1 species
UUGAACGCUGGCGGCAUGCUUUACACAUGCAAGUCGAACGGUAACAGGCCUUCGGGUGCUGACGAGUGGCGAACGGGUGAGUAAUGCAUCGGAACGUGCCCAAUCGUGGGGGAUAACGUAGCGAAAGUUACGCUAAUACCGCAUACGCCCUGAGGGGGAAAGCAGGGGAUCUUCGGACCUUGUGCGAAUGGAGCGGCCGAUGUCAGAUUAGCUAGUUGGUGGGGUAAAGGCCCACCAAGGCGACGAUCUGUAGCUGGUCUGAGAGGACGACCAGCCACACUGGAACUGAGACACGGUCCAGACUCCUACGGGAGGCAGCAGUGGGGAAUUUUGGACAAUGGGCGCAAGCCUGAUCCAGCCAUACCGCGUGAGUGAAGAAGGCCUUCGGGUUGUAAAGCCCUUUCAGCCGGAAAGAAAUCGUGCAGAUUAACACUCUGUAUGGAUGACGGUACCGGAAGAAGAAGCACCGGCUAACUACGU